rnacentral:rRNA from 1 species
GACGAACGCUGGCGGCGUGCUUAACACAUGCAAGUCGAACGGAAAGGCCCUGCUUUUGUGGGGUGCUCGAGUGGCGAACGGGUGAGUAACACGUGAGUAACCUGCCCUUGACUUUGGGAUAACUUCAGGAAACUGGGGCUAAUACCGGAUAGGAGCUCCUGCUGCAUGGUGGGGGUUGGAAAGUUUCGGCGGUUGGGGAUGGACUCGCGGCUUAUCAGCUUGUUGGUGGGGUAGUGGCUUACCAAGGCUUUGACGGGUAGCCGGCCUGAGAGGGUGACCGGCCACAUUGGGACUGAGAUACGGACCAGACUCCUACGGGAGGCAGCAGGGGGGAAUAUGGCACAAUGGGCGGAAGCCUGAUGCAGCAACGCCGCGUGUGGGAUGACGGCCUUCGGGGUGUAAACCGCUUUAGCCUGUGACGAAGCGUGAGUGACGGUAAUGGGUAAAGAAGCACCGGCUAACUACGUG